CCGUUCCACCACAAGGAAUAUUCCAUUCUAUGAACUGCAGUUGCUGUCAGUUUGGUCUUUAUGAGUUCAUAGAGCACUGGUUACCCCUUGAUGUAUCUAUAUUUACAAAUGAAAAAAGGUAGCAAAAUCCCCAUAAUUCUUUGGGGUAUAACAUUUAAGGAUGUUUUAAACAGUGUGGCUGAUGGGGCUCGUACUAGAAACAUCAAACAGAACCACAGCUGGUGGUGAUGCAGGAGGCAGAAUCAGUGUUCGGGAGACCAUAGGGUAUAACAUGGACUUUUUUUUUUUGACAAAUCUUUAAUGAUCUGGUGGAUAAUAUGAUGACACUGAAAAGAAUCUAAGAAAGUGACUGCUUUUGAUUGAUGGAUUUGUGAUAAUUUGAUUUUAGGACAAGGGAUAAUGAUUUUAAACUAAGAGAGGGUCAAUUUAUAUUAGAUAUAAGAAAGAAGUUUUUUACAAUGAGGGUGGUGAAACAUUGAAACAGUUGUGAGGUGGUAGAUGCUCCACCCCUGGAAACUUUCAAGGUCAGUUUGGAUGAGGACAAUAUACUGGAAGAUGUCCAUUCUCUCUGCAGGAGGCGGGGACUGGGUGACCUUUGAAGUUCCCUUCCAACCCGAGUAAUUUUUUGAUUCUGUGAUUCUAUGAUUGAAAACACAAGGAAGGAAAGGCACAUUAAGCUAGCAGAAAACUGGAAAAAAAGUAACUUUGAAUCAUUGGUCAACCAAAAAACAUUUUCUGGAUAAGUAAGACAGCAACUCUGUCUUGAAUUUAAGACUUAAGAGAAACUGAUGAGUAAAUCCAAGAAAUAUCAAAUCUAUUCUUACUAAGGAGCAGUAGAAGCAGGGAAUGUUGGUUGUACUGGACUGAUUCAAGUUCCUUGGAAUCAAUAGGACUACACAUGGAAAGCUAACACUUCACAGAGAACAUUUCUGGCUUCACAAGAGGGGAGGCAAGAAAUCUGUAGUACUGCUGAUGACAACGUUCAGUGACGCAACCGUAAUAGAGACAGAUAUGGCCAUAGGAGGCCUCAAGAAAGAUCUUUUCUGCAAGGAUAAAGAAGCGUUAAUAUUCAUAUUCAAAGCCAUUGAUUCCAUACAUGACUUAUGAUAUCCUGGUCAAGGUUCCUUUGAACCUGUAGCAGGCACACAAAAGUGCUAUUAAGUAAAGGGUGAAUCAACAGCCCAUUGUACAGGAAGCAACUGAAGGUGCUGGACAUGCUGUACUUGGCAAAAUGAAAGGUGAAAGACAAUAUGGCUAUUGUCCACAAACACAUCAACAAGGAUACAGCAAGGUCAGAAGGAAAAAAAACUAUUAAAAUUAUUAACUAUGGAAGCAUAAGAAAAAAAGGAUUCAAAAUAGCCAGGAGAAACUUAGCCUGAAAAUGAGUAGACUUAGAAGAGGGAAAUUCCUGAUUCUUUUCAGAAUCAAAGAUUGAAAACAUGUAAUUGCUAUGAAAUGAGCUAAAUAGGAAAGGACAAAUACCGAUGAAUGCAUAUCCACAGUGACAAGUUUCCCUGCUCUGUACUCCCAAGACACCUUGCAUAAACAGACUUUGAUAAAAGGAGAAUAUAGACCCUGUAAGGGCUUUGAAGUUCAUUUCAGCAAAUUAAUCUGAACCACAUUAAUGUUUUGUGAACUCAUACAACAUACUUUAAUUAAAACAAUAGUGUAAUCUUUGAGAGAAAGCAUGUCAAACUUUCCUUCCCAGUAUGUUGCCUUCAAAACAAGAAGGUAUAAAAGGCUUUUUGGAGGUAUUUUACCUGCAAAGUUUACGGUGAACCUGGUCUCCAACUCGUCGUGUCAGCAAUUUAACACACUCCUGUUUCUGAUUGAUAAUUCUCUGGAGAAAGAAAAAAUGUGAACCUUUAGCGACACACACGCAGGAACCUCAUGCUAGCUUGGUGACUAAUGCUUCAUUUUCCCAGCUCAAUUUGCAGCUGCUCAGCUCCUCCACCAAGUGAAGGAACAGCUAGAAUUGAGCAGCUGGGUGAGGAAGAAAGGUCCUGUUCAUGGUUACUGAAAAAGGAAAUACUUCUUCCCUUUAUCUCCAACCCUUGACCAUGCAACUACCAAAGUUGAUGAAGUCUCUACAUACCCUUCAGUCCUUUGUUCAUGUGCAAUUUGUUUUGUUUUCUGCUUCAUUUAAUCUCAAUGUCUGAUUUACUCCUGGAUCAUUUCCACUGGAAAUGCUGAGGCCAACAAAGACGAUCUACAUGAAGCAUGACAGAGAAAAAGCUCCCACAACAAAGUACCUGUACACUUUAUGAGGUUUGGCUGUUGGAAACUUUGCUCUUUCCUUUGAAUUCUCAGGUACAAAACACCUCAAUAUGUGUAGAGUUCUGAUAAGCAGCAUUUUAACUCUGUUGUUGUUCAUCAUGA